GACGAACGCUGGCGGCGCGCUUAACACAUGCAAGUCGAGCGAAGCGGCGGACGGGUGAGUAACACGUGAGUAACCUGCCUUAGACAUUGGGAUAGCCUCGGGAAACCGGGAUUAAUACCAAAUGGUCUAAGAUGGACUCGGGUCCCAUUAGCCAGUUGGUGAGGUAACGGCCCACCAAGGCAACGAUAGGUAGCCGGCCUGAGAUGGUGAACGGCCACGUGGGGACUGGGCAACGGUCCGAACUCUACGGGAGGCAGCAGUGGUGAAUAUUGCACAAUGGAGGGAACUCUGAUGCAGCGACGCCGCGUGAACGAAGAAAGCUUUCGAGUCGUAAAGUUCUUUUAUAUGGGAAGCGGUACCAUAAGAAAAAUCCCCGGCUAACUACGUGCCAGCAGCCGCGGUAAUAC
rnacentral:rRNA from 1 species